GCCGGCGUGGCGGAAUAGGUAGACGCCCGGGACUUAAAAUCCCGUGUGAGGCGACUCACGUACCGGUUCGACCCCGGUCGCCGGCACCA
rnacentral:tRNA from 1 species